GAUGAACGCUGGCGGCGUGCCUAAUACAUGCAAGUCGAGCGAACGGACGAGAAGCUUGCUUCUCUGAUGUUAGCGGCGGACGGGUGAGUAACACGUGGAUCACCUACUUAUAAGACUGGGAUAACUUCGGGAAACCGUAGCUAAUACCGGAUAAUAUUUUGAACCGCAUGGUUCAAAAGUGAAAGACGGUCUUGCUGUCACUUAUAGAUGGAUCCGCGCUGCAUUAGCUAGUUGGUAAGGUAACGGCUUACCAAGGCUACGAUGCAUAGCCGACCUGAGAGGGUGAUCGGCCACACUGGAACUGAGACACGGUCCAGACUCCUACGGGAGGCAGCAGUAGGGAAUCUUCCGCAAUGGGCGAAAGCCUGACGGAGCAACGCCGCGUGAGUGAUGAAGGUCUUCGGAUCGUAAAGCUCUGUUAUUAGGGAAGAACAUAUGUGUAAGUAACUGUGCACAUCUUGACGGUACCUAAUCAGAAAGCCACGGCUAACUACGUG
rnacentral:rRNA from 1 species